rnacentral:misc_RNA from 1 species
AGAUAACUCAACCAUAUAUUUAUCACUGUAAAAUACUAGAGAUAUGAAGUAAAUCCUAUGAAUCAAGUUUACAAGAAAGAAUUCUAUGGGCGUUUUCGAAAUCUAAGAAAAUUAUUGAAGUGUUGUCUUUUGUACGCAAUGUUCUGGCCUCGCUCAGCAAAGAAUUUGCUAUUUUCUCUGCAGAAAUUUCUUCCUCUGUUGAGAUUCUCUCCUUUGCCUGUUGGACUAGUUGAAUUGCCUUCUUAACAUUAAUAACAUCCCAGAAUCCAUCACUAGCUAACAGUGCGAAUCCUUUGCUAGCUUGAUGUAUGUACACAACUUGACUAAUAUAAGGUUCUGAACUGAAGCGAACAUCUUGCUGUUUAAGAAAUUUGUCUCCGAGCAUACGAGCAAGGUUUAAACCACAUAGUCUCGUUUCCCCAUCUUUUAAAGGCUCCCCUGUUGCUUGGAUACGCAGCCUUUCAGAGUGACUAGUUAUUCUGUGAUCUUCAGUCAUUUUUGUCUGCUUCCCGUCAAUAUUUACAACACAAGCUGAAUCUCCAACAUUUGCACAUUGCGCAUAAAAAUUCCCAUCACCAUCAGCCCACACCAGAAGCACUGUUGCAGUACAUCCCUCAUAGUGGUGGUCUAUACUUGCUUCCGUUUGAGAGAACGCCUCUCUAAGAACAUCUGAAGCAUCAGAUUGUGAUAAUACCCUCUCCCUUCUAUAUGAAUCUGACAGGAUACUAGCAACCAUCUGAGGCAUUAUUUUGCUGACAGAUACCGCAGCAUCCGCUCCUCCGUGUCCAUCGCAUAUCCCAAACAAUCCAAACUUAUCCGUUCCCGGAAGAGGCCAAUGGUAAUAGCAAACAUCUUCCAUAGGCAGCUUCUUUCCUCCUCGACGUACGGCCAUGGCAUCUGAUGCUAUACCAAUCCCAAAUGGGACAUGAUCAUUUUGGGAUCUAAUAUGUACAAAUAUUCUCGAAGUUGUGCCAAGUGUUAUUAUGUCCCCAU